UGUAUAUAUAUAUAUAUAUAUAUAUUACAAAAAUUACAAGGAGCAUACAAUGAUGCUUUAAGAAUUUUACUUAAGGUUCCCAGAGGAGGGAGUGCUAGCCAGAUGUUUGUGUCUGUAGGAGUAAGCACACUUCAUGCACUUUUAAGAAAUUUAAUGUACAAGUUUAUACAACGCCUGGAUGAUUCUUCCAAUAAUAUCAUGGUGGCACUCUCAAAUCCAACUGUGAGUAGCGCAAGGUAUACAUCCAGGCUGAGAGCGCACUGGAUA